UAAAUAUGGUUCUAUGAUUGAUGACAUUUUGGCAUUUUUGGGCUUGAUGACAUAUGUUGAAAUGGUUUAGUGAUGAUACGUUUUGAAUGGCCAAAUUGCUAUGCUUGUGUGAUAUUGAAAUGUAAUGUUGCUGUGAGUUUGUGAAAUUAAUGAUAUUUGAUGCCUUGAUGGUUGGUGUGCUUUUGACACUUUGAUGUUU
rnacentral:lncRNA from 1 species